rnacentral:lncRNA from 1 species
GUUUCUAACAUUUUAGAUCUGGCAUUCCAAAUGGAAUGUUCCCAACAUACUGUACCCCAGUCUAUACAAUGGAAUUUGAGCUUCUGCUUUAACCACAGGCUUUCUUUUUCACUGGAAUGACUCUUCUUGAAAAAACUGCCUAUUUCACCUUCCUUGGCAGUGGAAUAAGUGGAUCAAAAACAGCGACUGCUGAUGAAAACUCAACUUCCAAAUACAUUCCACAGCUUAUUUGCAGAGGGAAAUGUUCUUUACCUUUUGAACUUUCAGAUAGCUGGUGAAAGCAAAUGGGCCUGUGAAACUGCUUCCUUUAAUCCAGCAGAUAGAUGCCUGUGGUUUCAGAGCCCGGGAUGUUCCAUUUUGAGUGCCACAUGCGUGUGGUUAGCUAAUGACCGGGUGUCUACUGAGGUUUGCGACCAGGGAUUGUUGCAAAGCUCUACCUGACUCUUUUCUUCUCCUGGAGAAGGUAUUUCCCGACCAUACAGAAAUUGUUUCAAAGCGCAUUGACUUGUGACCAGAUUCUUUUCAGUCUUCUUAUUCCUGAAUAUUUCAGCAAUGGACAUAUGGGUCACCUCCUCUGUAUUGUGACCUUCUCUUCUCUGAAGUCUCAUUAUUCUUUUUGGUCUCUGGAAUAUUAUGUGGGAAUAAAUAGGGAAAAGGAAACCAAACUUGCUUUUAUUCUCUUAUCCAUACUUUUCACCUGCGUGUUCCACCUUUAUCUGUGUA